UGCUGGAGGUAUCAGAAGUGCGAAUGCUGACAUAAGUAACGAUAAAGCGGGUGAAAAGCCCGCUCGCCGGAAGACCAAGGGUUCCUGUCCAACGUUAAUCGGGGCAGGGUGAGUCGACCCCUAAGGCGAGGCCGAAAGGCGUAGUCGAUGGGAAACGGGUUAAUAUUCCCGUACUUGGUGUUACUGCGAAGGGGGGACGGAGAAGGCUAUGUUGGCCGGGCGACGGUUGUCCCGGUUUAAGCGUGUAGGUGUGUGUUCCAGGUAAAUCCGGUUCACUUUAACACUGAGGCGUGAUGACGAGGCACUACGGUGCUGAAGCAACAAAUGCCCUGCUUCCAGGAAAAGCCUCUAAGCAUCAGGUAACAUCAAAUCGUACCCCAAACCGACACAGGUGGUCAGGUAGAGAAUACCAAGGCGCUUGAGAGAACUCGGGUGAAGGAACUAGGCAAAAUGGUGCCGUAACUUCGGGAGAAGGCACGCUGACACGUAGGUGAAGUGAUUUACUCACGGAGCUGAAGUCAGUCGAAGAUACCAGCUGGCUGCAACUGUUUAUUAAAAACACAGCACUGUGCAAACACGAAAGUGGACGUAUACGGUGUGACGCCUGCCCGGUGCCGGAAGGUUAAUUGAUGGGGUCAGCGCAAGCGAAGCUCCUGAUCGAAGCCCCGGUAAACGGCGGCCGUAACUAUAACGGUCCUAAGGUAGCGAAAUUCCUUGUCGGGUAAGUUCCGACCUGCACGAAUGGCGUAAUGAUGGCCAGGCUGUCUCCACCCGAGACUCAGUGAAAUUGAACUCGCUGUGAAGAUGCAGUGUACCCGCGGCAAGACGGAAAGACCCCGUGAACCUUUACUAUAGCUUGACACUGAACAUUGAGCCUUGAUGUGUAGGAUAGGUGGGAGGCUUUGAAGUGUGGACGCCAGUCUGCAUGGAGCCGACCUUGAAAUACCACCCUUUAAUGUUUGAUGUUCUAACGUGGACCCGUAAUCCGGGUUGCGGACAGUGUCUGGUGGGUAGUUUGACUGGGGCGGUCUCCUCCUAAAGAGUAACGGAGGAGCACGAAGGUUGGCUAAUCCUGGUCGGACAUCAGGAGGUUAGUGCAAUGGCAUAAGCCAGCUUGACUGCGAGCGUGACGGCGCGAGCAGGUGCGAAAGCAGGUCAUAGUGAUCCGGUGGUUCUGAAUGGAAGGGCCAUCGCUCAACGGAUAAAAGGUACUCCGGGGAUAACAGGCUGAUACCGCCCAAGAGUUCAUAUCGACGGCGGUGUUUGGCACCUCGAUGUCGGCUCAUCACAUCCUGGGGCUGAAGUAGGUCCCAAGGGUAUGGCUGUUCGCCAUUUAAAGUGGUACGCGAGCUGGGUUUAGAACGUCGUGAGACAGUUCGGUCCCUAUCUGCCGUGGGCGCUGGAGAACUGAGGGGGGCUGCUCCUAGUACGAGAGGACCGGAGUGGACGCAUCACUGGUGUUCGGGUUGUCAUGCCAAUGGCACUGCCCGGUAGCUAAAUGCGGAAGAGAUAAGUGCUGAAAGCAUCUAAGCACGAAACUUGCCCCGAGAUGAGUUCUCCCUGAGACUUUAGGUCUCCUGAAGGAACGUUGAAGACGACGACGUUGAUAGGCCGGGUGUGUAAGCGCAGCGAUGCGUUGAGCUAACCGGUACUAAUGAACCGUGAGGCUUAACCUUACAACGCCGAAG
rnacentral:rRNA from 2 species